CGAGGCCGUUGCGCUGCUUGGCGACGCGGUGCCUGCCGCGCACCGGGCGGACGGACUCCUCGGUGGGGUUCCACUCGUCCCAGCCGCGG
rnacentral:tRNA from 1 species